UUAAGCGACUAAGCGUACACGGUGGAUGCCCUGGCAGUCAGAGGCGAUGAAGGACGUGCUAAUCUGCGAUAAGCGUCGGUAAGGUGAUAUGAACCGUUAUAACCGGCGAUUUCCGAAUGGGGAAACCCAGUGUGAUUCGUCACACUAUCAUUAACUGAAUCCAUAGGUUAAUGAGGCGAACCGGGGGAACUGAAACAUCUAAGUACCCCGAGGAAAAGAAAUCAACCGAGAUUCCCCCAGUAGCGGCGAGCGAACGGGGAGCAGCCCAGAGCCUGAAUCAGUGUGUGUGUUAGUGGAAGCGUCUGGAAAGGCGCGCGAUACAGGGUGACAGCCCCGUACACAAAAAUGCACAUGCUGUGAGCUCGAUGAGUAGGGCGGGACACGUGGUAUCCUGUCUGAAUAUGGGGGGACCAUCCUCCAAGGCUAAAUACUCCUGACUGACCGAUAGUGAACCAGUACCGUGAGGGAAAGGCGAAAAGAACCCCGGCGAGGGGAGUGAAAAAGAACCUGAAACCGUGUACGUACAAGCAGUGGGAGCACAGAGCAAUCUGUGUGACUGCGUACCUUUUGUAUAAUGGGUCAGCGACUUAUAUUCUGUAGCAAGGUUAACCGAAUAGGGGAGCCGAAGGGAAACCGAGUCUUAACUGGGCGUUAAGUUGCAGGGUAUAGACCCGAAACCCGGUGAUCUAGCCAUGGGCAGGUUGAAGGUUGGGUAACACUAACUGGAGGACCGAACCGACUAAUGUUGAAAAAUUAGCGGAUGACUUGUGGCUGGGGGUGAAAGGCCAAUCAAACCGGGAGAUAGCUGGUUCUCCCCGAAAGCUAUUUAGGUAGCGCCUCGUGAAUUCAUCUCCGGGGGUAGAGCACUGUUUCGGCAAGGGGGUCAUCCCGACUUACCAACCCGAUGCAAACUGCGAAUACCGGAGAAUGUUAUCACGGGAGACACACGGCGGGUGCUAACGUCCGUCGUGAAGAGGGAAACAACCCAGACCGCCAGCUAAGGUCCCAAAGUCAUGGUUAAGUGGGAAACGAUGUGGGAAGGCCCAGACAGCCAGGAUGUUGGCUUAGAAGCAGCCAUCAUUUAAAGAAAGCGUAAUAGCUCACUGGUCGAGUCGGCCUGCGCGGAAGAUGUAACGGGGCUAAACCAUGCACCGAAGCUGCGGCAGCGACGCUUAUGCGUUGUUGGGUAGGGGAGCGUUCUGUAAGCCUGUGAAGGUGUGCUGUGAGGUAUGCUGGAGGUAUCAGAAGUGCGAAUGCUGACAUAAGUAACGAUAAAGCGGGUGAAAAGCCCGCUCGCCGGAAGACCAAGGGUUCCUGUCCAACGUUAAUCGGGGCAGGGUGAGUCGACCCCUAAGGCGAGGCCGAAAGGCGUAGUCGAUGGGAAACAGGUUAAUAUUCCUGUACUUGGUGUUACUGCGAAGGGGGGACGGAGAAGGCUAUGUUGGCCGGGCGACGGUUGUCCCGGUUUAAGCGUGUAGGCUGGUUUUCCAGGCAAAUCCGGAAAAUCAAGGCUGAGGCGUGAUGACGAGGCACUACGGUGCUGAAGCAACAAAUGCCCUGCUUCCAGGAAAAGCCUCUAAGCAUCAGGUAACAUCAAAUCGUACCCCAAACCGACACAGGUGGUCAGGUAGAGAAUACCAAGGCGCUUGAGAGAACUCGGGUGAAGGAACUAGGCAAAAUGGUGCCGUAACUUCGGGAGAAGGCACGCUGAUAUGUAGGUGAAGCGACUUGCUCGUGGAGCUGAAAUCAGUCGAAGAUACCAGCUGGCUGCAACUGUUUAUUAAAAACACAGCACUGUGCAAACACGAAAGUGGACGUAUACGGUGUGACGCCUGCCCGGUGCCGGAAGGUUAAUUGAUGGGGUCAGCGCAAGCGAAGCUCUUGAUCGAAGCCCCGGUAAACGGCGGCCGUAACUAUAACGGUCCUAAGGUAGCGAAAUUCCUUGUCGGGUAAGUUCCGACCUGCACGAAUGGCGUAAUGAUGGCCAGGCUGUCUCCACCCGAGACUCAGUGAAAUUGAACUCGCUGUGAAGAUGCAGUGUACCCGCGGCAAGACGGAAAGACCCCGUGAACCUUUACUAUAGCUUGACACUGAACAUUGAGCCUUGAUGUGUAGGAUAGGUGGGAGGCUUUGAAGUGUGGACGCCAGUCUGCAUGGAGCCGACCUUGAAAUACCACCCUUUAAUGUUUGAUGUUCUAACGUUGACCCGUAAUCCGGGUUGCGGACAGUGUCUGGUGGGUAGUUUGACUGGGGCGGUCUCCUCCUAAAGAGUAACGGAGGAGCACGAAGGUUGGCUAAUCCUGGUCGGACAUCAGGAGGUUAGUGCAAUGGCAUAAGCCAGCUUGACUGCGAGCGUGACGGCGCGAGCAGGUGCGAAAGCAGGUCAUAGUGAUCCGGUGGUUCUGAAUGGAAGGGCCAUCGCUCAACGGAUAAAAGGUACUCCGGGGAUAACAGGCUGAUACCGCCCAAGAGUUCAUAUCGACGGCGGUGUUUGGCACCUCGAUGUCGGCUCAUCACAUCCUGGGGCUGAAGUAGGUCCCAAGGGUAUGGCUGUUCGCCAUUUAAAGUGGUACGCGAGCUGGGUUUAGAACGUCGUGAGACAGUUCGGUCCCUAUCUGCCGUGGGCGCUGGAGAACUGAGGGGGGCUGCUCCUAGUACGAGAGGACCGGAGUGGACGCAUCACUGGUGUUCGGGUUGUCAUGCCAAUGGCACUGCCCGGUAGCUAAAUGCGGAAGAGAUAAGUGCUGAAAGCAUCUAAGCACGAAACUUGCCCCGAGAUGAGUUCUCCCUGACCCUUUAAGGGGCCUGAAGGAACGUUGAAGACGACGACGUUGAUAGGCCGGGUGUGUAAGCGCAGCGAUGCGUUGAGCUAACCGGUACUAAUGAACCGUGAGGCUUAACCUU
rnacentral:rRNA from 1 species